UACAGAGGGUGCAAGCGUUAAUCGGAAUUACUGGGCGUAAAGCGCGCGUAGGUGGUUUGUUAAGUUGGAUGUGAAAUCCCCGGGCUCAACCUGGGAACUGCAUCCAAAACUGGCAAGCUAGAGUAGGGCAGAGGGUGGUGGAAUUUCCUGUGUAGCGGUGAAAUGCGUAGAUAUAGGAAGGAACACCAGUGGCGAAGGCGACCACCUGGGCUCAUACUGACACUGAGGUGCGAAAGCGUGGGGAGCAAACAGGA
rnacentral:rRNA from 1 species